AUCGGCAUUGCUGAUGAGCGCUGGAAAUAGUGCCGCUCGCAAUGCCUCGUCGACUGGCUUUGACCACGGAUGUACUGGCAGGGAUAGGUAGACGAACGAAAGGUCGGUGCGAUUUCGCCCCGGCCUUUUUUGUU
rnacentral:sRNA from 2 species